UACGUAGGUGGCAAGCGUUGUCCGGAAUUACUGGGCGUAAAGGGCGCGUAGGCGGCGACUCAAGUUAGAUGUGAAAGUCCUGGGCUUAACCUGGGGACUGCAUUUGAUACUGGGUUGCUUGAAUUCGGGAGAGGAUAGCGGAAUUCCCAGUGUAGAGGUGAAAUUCGUAGAUAUUGGGAAGAACACCGGUGGCGAAGGCGGCUCUCUGGGCCUUUCCUGACGCUGAGACGCGAAAGCGUGGGGAGCGAACCGG
rnacentral:rRNA from 1 species